rnacentral:rRNA from 1 species
GAUGAACGCUGGCGGCGUGCCUAAUACAUGCAAGUCGAGCGAAUGGAUUAAGAGCUUGCUCUUAUGAAGUUAGCGGCGGACGGGUGAGUAACACGUGGGUAACCUGCCCAUAAGACUGGGAUAACUCCGGGAAACCGGGGCUAAUACCGGACAACAUUUUGAACCGCAUGGUUCGAAAUUGAAAGGCGGCUUCGGCUGUCACUUAUGGAUGGACCCGCGUCGCAUUAGCUAGUUGGUGAGGUAACGGCUCACCAAGGCAACGAUGCGUAGCCGACCUGAGAGGGUGAUCGGCCACGAUGGGACUGGGACACGGCCCAGACUCCUACGGGAGGCAGCAGUAGGGAAUCUUCCGCAAUGGACGAAAGUCUGACGGAGCAACGCCGCGUGAGUGAUGAAGGCUUUCGGGUCGUAAAACUCUGUUGUUAGGGAAGAACAAGCGCUAGUUGAAUAAGCUGGCACCUUGACGGUACCUAACCAGAAAGCCACGGCUAACUACGUGCCAGCAGCCGCCGUAA